GUUUCUGCACAGUAAGAAAGGAGUCAGCUGGCUCCCUCUUUUCAGAGACCCCCACCCCCACCCCCUUUACCCGUUUGGUUUUGCUGCCGUGGGCCUUCUCCUGUGUCUGGAGUUCAUUUCAGAGAUGGACCGAUGACUGUAGACUCUCUGUGAUCUGACCCCUGCCCUAAGUCACCCAAGGCCAGGUGCCAAGGAACCAGCAUUUGCCAAGAUGAUCCACACUAGCCAUCCUUCUCCGUUCACCCUACCCUGCCUUUGCAGCAGAAAUUCCACUAAAGAGUUGUUGACUCCAGGAUGUCGCUCACCAUUGUGUCCACCUGCAGAACAGCAACCUUAUCAGCUUGGAGAGGACUUGGGCUUUGCAGAUCCCCCUCCGUGGCCCAGGGCUACCUCCUCAUUUCUGGACAGCAUUUUCAUGCGCUCAGUCAGGCAGAGGGUAAGUAACCCCAUCUACCAGGAAGAGAUCAUGUAUCACCUUCAGUCAAGAUGCUAUGGAUGGGAGCCCAAGGCUUGACAGUGGUAGGUAACUCAGGUAGGUCUAUGACAAAAGGAGGCAAGCAGAAGCAGUUGUUCACUGUGACUGUCAAGUUGGGAAGGGGCUAGAGCUGUGGUGAGAGGCCAGGUCCUUAGCAUUUGUACUUUCAAAUUCUGGCAGACUCUGUCCUGUACAUAGAAUAUAGUGGGAACAUGCAUCCAUAUGCUGGAGGUAUCUUCAUACCUCAAAAAAAAGAAAAAAAAAAAGGAAAGAAAGACUUAUCCAGGCUUGAGAGCAUCAUAUUUGGGGACCUCCCAGGGGGAGAUUAAGUUUUGUGACCUUUUUGUAGAGCACCCCAGGCCCUGGCCUAGCUCAGUCACCCUCCAAGGGUCAGGGAGACUUACCCAGAGGUGGGAGCACUGCACAGCAGAUUUGACCUUCUCUACCAAAGUAGUCACUUCCGUCUGGUAUUCCAUAUCUGCUAUGGAAGUUUCUCUUUUCCUCACUGGACAGAGUGGAGAAGGAAGGCCUAGUCAGUGUGCAAGAGUGGCUACCUGGUGGCUCUAUAGACACUCAAACUUCAAAGAAGACACCCAGGAUGUUGGGUACCCUUACGUGGUACCUGUACCUGCUCUCCUCAGCCUGACCCUUCAGAGUACCUUGGGAAACUCAAGGACAGACAAGGACCAGGAGCAGCAUGACGUCAUGUGGCUCUGGGAAGCAGUUCUGAGAUGUCACUGGGUGACCGAGCUCUAGUUACUAGAGAUAGCAUCUCUGCAGCCACCUUGUGCCAUAGGCUCUCAGAUUCUUCAGGGACAGUCAGGGAGAGGCAGGGGCCGUCUGUCUUCCUCACCCUAGUGAUCACUGGCCUCAUGGUGACCUGACUGAGCAGUCCCAGUCAUUGCUGGCUCCUGGAGACCUUAGCUGGACAAGACGAGGAGCUGAGACUCACCCUUCAAGUUCUCCAUACUCAUCAGAUUGGAGGAGAAAUCCAAGUCCCUCCGGCCCUGAUGGGAGAGAGAACCAGCUGGCGGAUAAUCUGAUGGCAGUGGUGGAGUUGGAUCACUGAAAAGGCUUGGUGACAAGACCCAUCUCCCGGAAACCUCAGAUCAGAAUCUCCACAUCUUCUGGCGUAGAACAACCCUUUCGGAGUCUUGCUCGCUGAGUCCCGCCGCUCCCGGAAGUUCUGGCGCACAGUCGGAGCCCCGCCCCCGCCCGGUACCCGGGCACCUGCAGCAGCUUUAGUUCAUCCUUAGUGGCAUCAG